UGUCGAUUACAAAUUCCCUUAUUAAAAUAAACACAAAUUAAUAAAAAUAAAAAAACUAAAAAUACAUCAGUUAGAAAUUUAGAAGAAAGUUUUUUGUUUUGUUUUGUUUUGUACAGGCUCAGAUUUCAACUUGAUAAGCAUUUCUACAAUUACUUCAUAGUGACUCCUCUCCUGGGCCAGUCUCUGUAAUGUUUAACACUGUUAAAGAUGUUUCUAGAGGAUCUUGCUCCACACCUCCAUUAUCAGCUCCUUUGUAAUCUCUGGUUUGUGCAUCAGGAGGCUGCUUGUGAUUUCAGACCACAGGUUUCCCUGUACGGCUCCAAUCCAGAGACUGAACAGAGGGACGAAAAACAACAGGGAGUUCCGGCAAGAGACGAGCAGACGGUCUGUUAACGGUCCUGCUGGCAUGCACUCUACUCUACAGCUUAGUCUUCUGAAGAGACCCCAAGCUCAGUGUGUGUAUCAGCUCCACAUACAUAUUAACAUUAUUAUACCUAUUAAUGAGAGUCGAGAGUUUUGUGACAUAUUAACCACUGCUGCAUGACACGUUGGCAAGAACCAAUCCUCUGGAAACGCCUCUGUGACGUAUUGCACUACAUAUUCAUCAUCAGGUAGUGUAGAUAACGCUCAGACUAGCUAAUUCGAUAUUUUAAAUGUUUUAAAAAGGAAAAUCCAUUAACAUUUUGACAGAUUUAUUGAUUAUUUAUUGUUGUUCACCUCAGUAUACUGGAGUCAAACUUAAAUAUUGAAAAUAAAUAGCAUUUAGACUUUUGCUAAAUGCUAUUUAGAAAAGCGCGUUCUGCUGUGUUUUGAAUGUGAUUCAGGCCAUUCAGAUUUGAAUUUAUGCUAAAGUAUCCCUGACCAAGUGUUGAGUGUGUUAAUGAGCAUGCUUUUUAAAAGGUAGACAUUUCUAUAUUGUAAAUAAUCUUUUGAUUGAUCUUAGCAAAUAUUCAAUUUGAAGAUACUGGAUUUCUGAUUUUCAUGAGCUGUAAGCCGUAAUUAUCGAAAUUGAAAACAAGCCACAAUAGUCAGCAGAGUGGUAAAUCCCAUACAGGAACAGCCUGACUCUUCUUUUUGUUAAUUUGUGUUUUUCCCCUCAUGGACCAUGCUAACAACCAAAUAACGUUGUAGUUGUUCUUCUGUUGUCCACCAGAGUUGUUUUUUCAGUGGCCUUUUGGUGUUCAUAUCUGUGUUCUGCCUUUUUAAGACUUACUUGAUUUUACUAACCCUAAUAUCUAAAACACUACUGCUCAUCAAAUGGCUGAGCAUUCAACUGUCCAAUUCCUUUUGGUUUCUUAAGAAGGGAGGAGCCGUAUGGAAGUGCAGUAAUUUCUACAUCGUUUACCCGAGUUAGUUGUCUCACAUUAAAGCUAAAAGUCUGCACUUUGGAAUUUAAAUUCAACUCCAGUGUGAUUGCUUCCAUUGCCAUGGUGAAAACUAGUGGACAAUAAAUGUGCAACCCGCCAUGUCCCCUAUUUCAAGUCUCUGCCAUGUGGUGAUAAAGUCAGGUAUUGUAAAGCAGAAUCGCAGAUCUUGGAAAUAGAUCUUGAUCAAAACUGUUGAAGGCCGUCCAAAUGUGCUGUGGGGACCUGAGCCAAACGCAUUUGCCAGGUGGAGGAUGACAACAUGCAGAUCGCUCUUCUCAACCUUGGCAAGUUGGAUUUGGAUUUGCUCCAGACAUUCUGAAACCCCUGGAAUACCUUUACUGUUGACAUUUUACAGAAGGGUGUCUGGUGACAGAAAUGUAGCUGAAGAUGACCUGGCCAGACUGAAGUGGACUGGAGAGUGUUUAGAGUGGUUAGAACGAGGCCCUUGAAUUCCAUCAGGCGGGAUCUUAAUUAAGAAGCAACGCCUUUAAAUGGGUUCUGCUCAGAACUACAGUACUAUUCCUGAAACCAAAAGACACCAACAGGGGCGGACUGGGACCAAAAAGUGGCCCUGGACGUCCUGACCCACAGCAGCCCACAUCAUAAUACAUUGGCUCAUUAAUGUAGAGAUACAUUUUCAACACCAGUUACAAGUAUAAAAAUACAACACAAUACAGAAAUUAAUCCUUAUACCUAUACUGGGUCAUAUUAGUAAAACAAAGGAAACAUCAAGACAAAACAUAUAAAUCUAUAAAGACAAUAUUUUAUCUAUAUAUAAUUAUAUUUAUAUUAUAUGUAAAAGGAAUGGCAAUAAAACUGAACAGGUAAGCUGAAAUAAAAUCAGGAGCAGCAUUAGCUCACACUAGUAAACUAGUUACUUAUUUUAAUUAUUUUGGAGUCAAUGCUGAGAAACAUUAUUUUGAAUUAAUAUUGACUACCAUAAUAAUAACUAGCACGAGUUAAGAAGAGUUAGUACGAGUUAAUGCUGCUCCUGAUUUUAUUCCAGAUUACCUGUUCAGUUUGAUUGCCAUCCUUUUCACUCGGCUCUGGUAGAUCAGGGGGUUGGUGUUGGUCAUUUUCAGCAGGCACUGGGUCAUCAUCACUGACCUGCUGCACUUACAGCUUACACUGAUGAGUGGUGUAUCUCACACUGAUGAGUGGUGUAUCUCACACUGAUGAGUGGUGUAUCUUACACUGCAUCACGAUGAUACCCCCUGCGAAAUGUUCAUAAUAUCUCACAAAAAAAAGGUUAAUUUGUCUUUUUCUCACAAAGUGUUUAGGUGAAAUUCCACCCAUACAAGUGUAACAAAUAUGCAAAAAAAAAAGAGGAGAGGGGCAAAUACUUUUUCAUGGCACUGCACAUGUAGUCAGAUUGUUCCACUGGGAUGAAACUGUGCCAGGUGGCAUUAUGGCACUUACUAACUUUACACUGAUCUGAACAAUUUGAUUAAUGAACUUAUUGUUCUUUCCUUUGUUUCUUUGUUUUACAAAUAUGACCCAAAAUAUGUUCAGUGAUACUUUUUUAUUUUCGUUUUUGUUUGUGUUAUAUUUUUAUACUAGUAAGUGGUUUUAAAAAUGAAUCUCCACUUUAAUGAUCCAGGAUCUGUUCAUUUAAAGCAUUUCACAGCAUUUACCUCUAAAGCUUUUUUUUAAUUUUCAUGUAAUUUUAAGCUCCACCUUUUCUUCUUCCUCUUUUUCAUUCAUUAAAACUAUUAAUUUGCUCAAAGAAAUUUGCUGCAUCGAGAAAGGAUCAAUAUCUCUCCCUCCGUAAAAUAAAAGUGAAGGUGUCUAAUUAAUAUUGACAACACGCUCUUUGUUGGCGGCGCCCGUUCGAUCGACGCACUUAUCAAUAUGAGUAGGAAAAAGAUGCAAUAUUAUGGUUUUCAUCAUUUUUUAUAUAUUUGCUUACUGACUGGGCCGGCCCACACUGGCUAGCGGCCCACCGGGAAAACCGGGAAAGCCCACCCAAGUUUCUGUUUUUCUUCACUUUAUCUUUUAUAAACAUUCCAGACCAGAUGUGAACGCUCCUGCACCCACGUGUUUUUGGUUCUUUGUGAGUGCGUAUAUACACUCCUGUCUCCCACAAUAAACUUUGAACAUCACACUGA